AAGGUCGACACGCGAUCGAAACCGCCUUUUACGGCGGCCAGUCGUUACGAUAGUAAUCCUGCCCAGUACGAGAGGAACGGCAGGGUCGGACAUAUGGUUCGGCACUCGCCCGAGCGGGGCGUUGGUGCGAGGCUACCAUCCGUUGGAUUACGCCUGAACGCCUCUAAGGCCGUAUCCACUCUGGAGAAUAACAGCCGGGCCGGCUUUCGGGCCGGUCUCGGGAAAAACGAUCGUCCGUACGGCGGAGGAGAACCCAGUAUACAUCGGGAAGGCGUCAAAGCACGGACCUUCGGGUCCACGACGAGCCGGAUUCUCGGCCGCGCGGGCUCUCGGGCCCGCUGGCCGUGCAUCAACGGUGAACGCGGUGAUCCCGCGGCAAACGGUGUGGGUUUUCGGAAUCGUCUGCAGACGACUUAAGUACCGGGCUGGGUGUUGUACUCGGCAGAGCAGUUACCACGCUGCGAUCUGUUAAGACUGCCCUUUGCCUCGGGGGUUCGU
rnacentral:ncRNA from 1 species